UAGCCUAGGGGUAAGGCUCCUGACUCUCACGCAGGAGACCCGAGUUCGAUUCCCCGGAAUCCUAACACCA